UGCGGGCGUGGUGGAAUUGGUAGACGCGCUAGAUUUAGGUUCUAGUGAGAUAAUCUCGUGAGAGUUCAAGUCUCUCCGCCCGCAU
rnacentral:tRNA from 1 species